GUGAUUUUCGGAUGCCUCUCUUGUCUCCCCUCCCGCACCAGUUCAACUGUCGGGCGACGUCAGUGGAGAACACCUUGGAGCAAAUCCUCCAUACAGUUUUCUUCAUGCUCGGCCCGCCACUGAUGGAUAAUCUGUUCACCUUCAACAGCCUAUCUAGGUCUGCAGUAGAUGCUAGAGGAAAGACACCACCCUCUUCCUCUUCAGCUAUCUGCAUUUGGGGUACAACACGCCUGUUCCCCACUAGAGACUGGACCAGUGAAGUCAGAUGGUUGAUCUUCAUGUCCAUUUUCUCUAGUGUUUCCAGAAUUGCCCUUUCUACAGCUGCAAUACAUAAGAUAAUUUAACUUGUACUCAAGACUGGAUUUUCCUGUCUCCCACCAGAAGUACCUUGUUUUCUGGUUUGCUAAAGAGCCUCACUGGAGCUCAAAAUGGAGUUGCCAGGCCUUCAGGCUGACAACAGAAGGUCUGAACCCCUUUGAUUGGCCAAGGACUACCAGGUGGAUGAGCACUCCAGCCGUCACCAUGAUGGUCUGCCUGAGAGACGCCCACUGGAGCUGAGAAAGAUGGACUUGGGCCUGCCAUCUUGUCAUUUUGGCUUGUUGUUUCUGAUUGCACUUUAACCUCAAGAGGGAAAUCCCGAUCAAAUCCCAGAAGGUGGAUGAGCACUCCAGCUGUCACCAUGAUGGUCUGCCUGAGAGAUGCCCACUGGAGCUGAGAAAGAUGGAGUGGGUUGAUCAACACACCAGCCGUCUCCGUGAUGGUCUGCCUGAGACAUACGCAGUGGAGCUGAGAAAGGUGGAGUAGAUGAACGAAGGUCUUGUUGGUUUGGAAUGACUGUACCAGUCACACUGAAGCUCCUAUUCAAUAACUUAUACCAUGGUCUGUCUGGAUAUUCUGAUUGGCUGGCAGGUUCUGAGUUUAUGUCAGAAGUGUAGCUGGCCUUCUUCCAGUUGUUGGCUACAUACUGAAAAGAUGCUGGAAAAAGAAAUGAAGG